rnacentral:tRNA from 1 species
ACUUAAAUAGUUUAAUUAAAAUUUUAAUUUGUGGAAUUGAAGAUAUGAGGAGUCAUUUUAAGUU